rnacentral:rRNA from 1 species
AUUGAACGCUGGCGGCAUGCUUUACACAUGCAAGUCGAACGGUAACAGGCCGCAAGGUGCUGACGAGAGGCGAACGGGUGAGUAAUGCAUCGGAACGUGCCCAGUCGUGGGGGAUAACGCAGCGAAAGCUGCGCUAAUACCGCAUACGAUCUAUGGAUGAAAGCGGGGGACCGUAAGGCCUCGCGCGAUUGGAGCGGCCGAUGUCAGAUUAGGUAGUUGGUGGGGUAAAGGCUCACCAAGCCAACGAUCUGUAGCUGGUCUGAGAGGACGACCAGCCACACUGGGACUGAGACACGGCCCAGAAUCCUACGGGAGGCAGCAGUGGGGAAUUUUGGACAAUGGGCGCAAGCCUGAUCCAGCAAUGCCGCGUGCAGGAAGAAGGCCUUCGGGUUGUAAACUGCUUUUGUACGGAACGAAACGGUCCUGGUUAAUACCCGGGGCUAAUGACGGUACCGUAAGAAUAAGCACCGGCUAACUACGUGCCAGCCGCCGCAGUAAUAC